rnacentral:rRNA from 1 species
AUUGAACGCUGGCGGCAGGCCUAACACAUGCAAGUCGAACGAGUGGCGGACGGGUGAGUAAUGUCUGGGAAACUGCCUGAUGGAGGGGGAUAACUACUGGAAACGGUAGCUAAUACCGCAUACCAUCGGAUGUGCCCAGAUGGGAUUAGCUAGUAGGUGGGGUAAAGGCUCACCUAGGCGACGAUCCCUAGCUGGUCUGAGAGGAUGACCAGCCACACUGGAACUGAGACACGGUCCAGACUCCUACGGGAGGCAGCAGUGGGGAAUAUUGCACAAUGGGCGCAAGCCUGAUGCAGCCAUGCCGCGUGUAUGAAGAAGGCCUUCGGGUUGUAAAGUACUUUCAGCGGGGAGGCGUUACCAGCAGAAUAAGCACCGGCUAACUCCGUGCCAGCAGCCGCGGUAAUUC